rnacentral:misc_RNA from 1 species
GAUGAAGAACGUAGCGAAAUGCGAUAAGUAGUGUGAAUUGCAGAAUUCAGUGAAUCAUCGAAUCUUUGAACGCACAUUGCGCCCUUUGGUAUUCCAAAGGGCAUGCCUGUUCGAGCGUCAUUUGUACCCUCAAGCUUUGCUUGGUGUUGGGCGUCUUGUCUCUAGCUUUGCUGGAGACUCGCCUUAAAGUAAUUGGCAGCCGGCCUACUGGUUUCGGAGCGCAGCACAAGUCGCACUCUCUAUCAGCAAAUGUCUAGCACCCAUUAAGCCUUUUUUUCAACUUUUGACCUCGGAUCAGGUAGGGAUACCCGCUGAACUUAAUCAUAUCAAUAAGCGGAGGA